CUUAAUACCCCACUGAGAUACGAAAGCAAAGCGCACCCACACUUCGUACCCAGCAAAAUUCCCCCUCCCCGAAAACAACGGCUCAGAUUACAUGCUGACAAAUCAAAAUCCAGAUCCAACCCAGGCUUCAACGCACGCGCACUGCACCGAAACCCCCAAUCCCCCGCCCGGCCACGUUGGAUUGGCGCCCUUCGUCUCCCAAAUUUCGGAGCGCCGCCGCCGCGCCGCCCGCUGCAGCCAGCUGCGCCCCGGCCACGGCGCCGUCCUCCGCGUCCGGCCACGCCCCCGCCGCGCCCUAGCUCCUUUGCGGCCGGCGUCCAGGGCGCCCGGUCUGCCGCGCGCCGCGGCCGGCCGGGGUGGGCCAAGCGGCUCCGCGUCCAGGGCCGCCGUGAGCCUCCGACGUGGGCGUCCGGCGUGGGCGGGAGCCGGGUGGCGAGCCGUGCGCCGCCGCCGUGAGCUGUCGCCAUGGGCGCACAGCCUGGGCGGGAGCCGUGCGGCGAGCCGUGGCCCUGCGUGCGGUGCGCCGUGCCGCGCCCGCCUUCCCGGCCAUCUCCGCCCCCGGGUGCCGCGCUCGGCGCAGGGCCGAGGUCUUCCACGCAGCGUGCCGCGCCCGCUCCGUCGCAGCCCUAGCCGACGUUGCCACGAUCCGCUGCCUCAAUGAAUCCUGUCGUCGAUCUGUGCGGCGACAGGGCCGCAACCCGUCCAGCUCCGCCUAGAGGGCUCGAUCUAUCUACAUCCAAAAUAGGAGUUGUGCUUCUUGUCCCGUUAACAGCUUUAGGGAAUAUUCGAGAAACUGUCAAGUAUGUGAAUGGAUCCACAUCAAGAAAGGAAAAAUUCAAGCUAAGUGCACAACAAGUUAAUGCUUCUAAUUUAUCUCUCAAAGCUGAUGUUCCAACUAGAUGGAAUUCUACUUUUCUUAUGCUUGAAAGAGCAGUGAAAUUCCGUGAUGCUUUUGACAGACUACAUGAAUGUGAUAGCUCAUACAUGUUCUUACAUUCCAAGGAGGACUGACACCAUAUUCAUUGCGUAGCAAAUUGUCUCAAGGUCUUUUAUGAGGUUAGAAAAAGAGUUUCAGGUACAAAAUAUCCCACUUUAAGUCUGUACUUCAAUGAUUUCUGUGGAAUUUAUCUUCCCCGUGAGUGGCAAUUUGGUGUUAAUACAUUUGUUCCAUCAAUGGCUGUACCAAUGGUGAAUAAGUCUUGGAAAUAUUGGGACAUUGCAAAUAAAUUAUUAGAGACUGCAACAAUUCUUGACCCCGCCUACAAAAUGAAAUCCAUCAAGUAAUACUAUAAAUUGCUUUAUGAUCCAUUUCUAGCUGAACUAAGAAUUGAAUCUGCAAGAAAAUCAUUUCUUGAGUUGUUUAGUGAAUAUGCAAGUCAACCCUCCCAAACAUCAUCAGAUGCUAACUCAUCAAGGAAUCGAAUCAGCAAGAUUUUUUUUUAUACUUAUAUAUAGGCUUUCUAACUUUAUUUUAACUGAAACAAUUGAGCCUAGGGGUGAUGAAGGUGACAUACCUACCUCUGAACCAUCUCUACCAACUAAAAGUUAAGAAAUGAUUAGUUCUAUGGUUAUGAUGCAGUUUCAGAUCAGAUGGCUUGUUUCGGGCUUUUAUUAUAUUCUGAAUUUCGUUGAUUAGUUCUCUAAUCACAGCUAAGCAUUUUACCAGGUUAGUUCUCUAUCACAGCUAACCUGGGUGGUUAGUUCUCUAUCACAGCUAACCUGGUAAAAUGAAGCAGCAAAGAGGGGACCAUGUUAGUUCUCUAUAACAGUUAAGCAUUUUACCAGGUUUCAUAUGUUUCCAAGCUGAUUUUUUUGCAGUAAAUACAUUGCCAUUCUUGGAUCCUUAUUCAGUCUUGGAUCUUGUGAACAAAUUGGUGCUUCAUGUCUGGCCUGAUAGUUUAAAACACUCAUGCUUGAUGUCUGAUCUAAUUUUUUAUAAACUGAGUCUUGAUGUCUGCAGAUGUGACACCUACUGUUAUCUUUAAACAUUGACAAGGACGUUGAGUUUUUAUAACAGUUGCAUGCAAUUUUCACUAUUUGUUCCAUUUUCAUAAUGUAUAAUUGAAACUUGCCUUUAUUAACAGUCGAGGCUGAAGGCCCAAGAGGAUCUGCAGAAAGUGGAAAAGAAACUUGCCUUUUAUUUCAAGUUUAUUUGCUUGCCAUUGUUGUUUUUCUUUUUUGUCUUGGGUGGCACUUAAUUGUCGAGGUCUUCCUAUCGCAACCAUCGAAUUUCUUUUUGUGUUUUAUUCUUCUUGCAGGUGUUUUGAGUUGUAGGUCGUGUGUAAUAUGGGUGUGAACAGAGACCCAAAUUAAAGCCUCAAAUCCGGUGUGCUAAUUUUGGCAUCAGAUUUCAGGAGUUAUUUGUUGCUAAUGUCAAUUAGCCUUUUUUUUGGCAUUAUACAUGACCUGCACCACCGAGAAUAUGAGAGGAUAGUAGCUGUUUGUGACAUUUCGAAGUUAUCCAAAAGAAGUGAGAGGCCUGAAGUUCGUGAUGCAGCUGGAGAGGCUUCUCUGCGAUCUUGCAAAGGCUGUGCUUGAGAAGCACAAGAGAUAUCUGGGCUGGCCAACUAUAGGUAGAGAAGAAAGAGAAAAAAAAAAGGGUUUUGGAGAGUUGAGUUAGUCCAUUCUGACCCACGCCGAGCAGAGCUUGAAUCAAGUCUCCAUGUUAGUACGUUAUGAGAAAAUUAUUGGUUUUAAAAUUUUAAAUUUGAUUUUGCUUUAUGGAUGUGUUUGUGUAAUAAAUAUAAUAACUGUCCUUUAUGUGAAAUAUAUAUUUCUCAGUUUGAACUA